UAGGAUGAACAAAACGACCUGGUUUUCCUGGGACUGAGGGGGUUUCCAGGAUACAGGGCUUCAAUCUAAAACCAG
rnacentral:miRNA from 1 species